rnacentral:rRNA from 1 species
AUUGAACGCUGGCGGCAGGCCUAACACAUGCAAGUCGAGCGGAUGAAGGGAGCUUGCUCCUGGAUUCAGCGGCGGACGGGUGAGUAAUGCCUAGGAAUCUGCCUGGUAGUGGGGGAUAACGUCCGGAAACGGGCGCUAAUACCGCAUACGUCCUGAGGGAGAAAGUGGGGGAUCUUCGGACCUCACGCUAUCAGAUGAGCCUAGGUCGGAUUAGCUAGUUGGUGGGGUAAAGGCCUACCAAGGCGACGAUCCGUAACUGGUCUGAGAGGAUGAUCAGUCACACUGGAACUGAGACACGGUCCAGACUCCUACGGGAGACAGCAGUGGGGAAUAUUGGACAAUGGGCGAAAGCCUGAUCCAGCCAUGCCGCGUGUGUGAAGAAGGUCUUCGGAUUGUAAAGCACUUUAAGUUGGGAGGAAGGGCAGUAAGUUAAUACCUUGUUGUUUUGACGUUACCAACAGAAUAAGCACCGGCUAACUUCGUG